CCGGAAGGUGGUGAUUGACUCCGCUGUCCUGGCGUCGUGAGGGAGCUUGUUCCACCAUUGGGGUGCCAGAGCAGCUAACAGUUUUGACUGGGCUGAGCGGGAACUGUGCUUCCUCAGAGGUAGGGGGGCCAGCAGGCCAGAGGUGGUAAGGGGACAUUGAUUUGAUCAUUCAGGUAAGGGGACAUUGAUUCGUUUAUUCAGGUAAGGGGACAUUGAUUCGUUUAUUCAGGUAAGGGGACAUUGAUUUGUUCAUUCAGGUAAGGGGACAUUGAUUCGUUUAUUCAGGUAAGGGGACAUUGAUUUGUUCAUUCAGGUAAGGGGACAUUGAUUUGAUCAUUCAGGUAAGGGGACAUUGAUUCGUUUAUUCAGGUAAGGGGACAUUGAUUUGUUCAUUCAUGACGUAUGAUUUGUCCUUAUCUAUUCUGCAUGUGUGUGGUUGGGUGUAGGUCAACUGUUGCCCUACUUCUUGCCAAUGUCUGCUGCAUUCUCAUACUGUCCAUGGAUAGGUUACUGUCUCAUACUGUCCAUGGAUAGGUUACUGUCUCAUACUGUCAUGGCUAGGUUACUGUCUCAUACCAUCACACUGUCCAUGGCUAGGUUACUGUCUCAUACUGUCCAUGGCUAGGUUACUGUCUCAUACUGUCCAUGGCUAGGUUACUGUCUCAUACUGUCCAUGGAUAGGUUACUGUCUCAUACUGUCCAUGGCUAGGUUACUGUCUCAUACUGUCCAUGGAUAGGUUACUGUCUCAUACUGUCCAUGGAUAGGUUACUGUCUCAUACUGUCAUGGCUAGGUUACUGUCUCAUACCAUCACACUGUCCAUGGCUAGGUUACUGUCUCAUACCAUCACAUUGUCCAUGGCUAGGUUACUGUCUCAUACUGUCCAUGGAUAGGUUACUGUCUCAUACUGUCAUGGCUAGGUUACUGUCUCAUACCAUCACAC
rnacentral:lncRNA from 1 species